AUGGUUGACCAUAGGACAUGCGCUAUCUCUGUGUCGUAUGUAAUAUGGUCCACGUCU
rnacentral:pre_miRNA from 1 species